GACGAACGCUGCGGCGUGCCUAAUACAUGCAAGUAGAACGCACAGGAUGCACCGUAGUUUACUACACCGUAUUCUGUGAGUUGCGAACGGGUGAGUAACGCGUAGGUAACCUGCCUGGUAGUGGGGGAUAACUAUUGGAAACGAUAGCUAAUACCGCAUAAGAACAUUUACUGCAUGGUAGAUGUUUAAAAGGUGCAAAAGCAUCACUACCAGAUGGACCUGCGUUGUAUUAGCUAGUUGGUGAGGUAACGGCUCACCAAGGCAACGAUACAUAGCCGACCUGAGAGGGUGAUCGGCCACACUGGGACUGAGACACGGCCCAGACUCCUACGGGAGGCAGCAGUAGGGAAUCUUCGGCAAUGGGGGGAACCCUGACCGAGCAACGCCGCGUGAGUGAAGAAGGUUUUCGGAUCGUAAAGCUCUGUUGUUAAGGAAGAACGUGUGUGAGAGUGGAAAGUUCACACAGUGACGGUACUUAACCAGAAAGGGACGGCUAA
rnacentral:rRNA from 1 species